GGCUGCGGGUGCUGGGGCCGCUGUGCCGGCGGCGGUUCCCCAAGUGGAGGUCCGUCCUGGGUGGGGAGGCACGGAAGGUCGCUGGUUCGAUGCGGAGGAAGAAACCACACCUAGCACUUAAAGCCCUGACAAAAUAGAGAUGUACAGUAGAGUUUUCCAGAGGCUACAUGACAUGCAGUAUCACAACGGAAGCAAAUAUAAGAAUCCACCUGUCUCCUAUUAAAAUGCAAAAUGUAAAACAGUACCACUUUCCUAACUGUUUUUGUUUGUGGAAAUAUAGUUCAUAAAAAUAUUUACAUUAACAUGUAAUUUAGGUUAAAAUAAAUUAAUAAAUAUUUGUAAAUUG